rnacentral:rRNA from 1 species
UAGUUGACAUGGAUAACUGUGGUAAUUCUAGAGCUAAUACAUGCAGCAAGCCUCGCCCCCUUACGGGCAAGGCGCAGUUAUUAGAUCAAAAACCAAUCGGUUGUGUCUUCGGAUAUAACCGUUACUUUGGUGACUCUGAGUAACCACAGCGAACCGUAUGGCCUUGUGCUCGACGGUCUGUCAGUCAAGCAACUGCCUUAUCAGCUUGUUGUUAGGUUAUAUGCCUAACAAGGCUUCAACGGGUAACGAACGAUCGGGGUCGGAUAUCGGAGAGGGAGCUUGAGAAACGGCUACCACUUCCAAGGAAGGCAGCNGGCGCGCAAAUUACCCACUCUCGGCAUGAGGAGGUAGCGAUGAAAUGUAUCGAUGCGGGGCCAUUAGUGCCUUCGUAAUCGGAAUGAGUACACUUUAAAUCCUAUAACAAGGACCUAUUGGAGGGCAAGUCUGGUGCCAUNAGCCGCGGUAAUUCCAGCUAA